rnacentral:lncRNA from 10 species
CAGGGCAGUCAGAAUGUCAAAUCCCUAUCUCUCAUGGUUCAUCAAAAUGCCCUCUCCUGCCUGUGCUGGUGACAAGGCAGGGCUAUGGUCAGCCCACAGAACUGUGGGAUAACCUUGAUGGUGCAGUAAGGGUUAAAGCACAGAGGGGGUGCCAGCUUAUAAAGAGCCUUGAAUGCUGUGAUUAGACAUGAUGGACUUUCUUCAUCAAUCAUUGUUCAAACAAGAGCUCCGCGACCAAACAGUACUUUAGAAAGAUAGCCCUAGUUGAGAGUGUGGAGAAGAGGCCAAAGAAUGAAAUAUGUGAUGAGGGAGAAGAUGGUCACCGUGACUGAGAUGGGACACUCAGGGCCUUAACAAGGGCAGCUGGCAAGCUCAUUAAUUUGAGGGUUUACACCCUAUAAUGCUCACCAGGUCUCCACUGGGCACAAGUGUGUCCUGGGACACAGGUAGGGUGGCGGUAUGGUCUUGCCUAAGUGGAUCUGAGCCAUUGCUGGGCUCACCCCCUCCUCACGAGAGCAGAUAGAAUGCCACCUUGCAGAAAACCAAGAUGUGGGCCUCCAACAUGAAGCAUGGAGAGAUGCUCUGAGCCAGGGACCAUUGCUCCUCCAGGCUAUGGGGGAUUCACAAGAUGGGAUUUUGUCAGAAAUGGAUGUUUCUGAGUAUGUAAAAUUUAAACCAAAGCCCUGCCUCUCCAUCAUCACUGGCUGCGUUAUAAUACAGUGUGCGUAUCUCCUUCCCCAUGCCCACCAAUGGAAAGAAAAACUCCACACAUUAUCUCCAAGCAGAUGGAAAAUGGCUUCACUCUUUGGGUUAUAGGGGAAAUGCAGCAGAAAAACUUGUCCAGAUGGUGGGUAUGAAUUCAAAUGAAAAACCCACCCUUCAAAGACCAGGGUGUGUUCCCGGUGGGAGCCACACAAGCUAUUUGGAAAGAAGUGUGGCAAUGCUAUUCAGAAAUUCCUACCUGCCCUUUUGCAAUCGUUUAAAUAAUCUGUGCUGCUCAAUGGGUACUUUACCUGACCUAGUUAAGAAUCAGAUUGCUAUUUUAACUGAGAAAAAUGGUACUUUCAAUCAGUUUAGAAAGAAGAAAAGAAUAAACAUUAUCAAGACCAUCUCUUAGAAGAUUAGGACAAAAAAAUCCAGGAGACGCUUCAAAGCUGUUUUUGUUUUUCUUGGCUUUGAAAUACAUAGACAGUCCUGAUAAUUUUAUCUUCCUCGAAAUAUAGCAAAUAAAGUCUAUUUACUACUCCC